GAGUUUGGAGCUCGGAACCGGGGGUGUUUGCCGCGCCGUGCUGCUCUCGGAGGGGCGUGAGCGCGUAAUCCCGCAGCUCUCAGCGCAUCCAGUUAUGUCAGCGCGAGCGAUGGUGUUACCUAAUGUAUGCGGCUGAACUCUCCGUGAACCGCCUCCGCUGCUGCCCUUCACAUGACCCAGCCGCUGUCUGACAUCAUCCUGCGCGCUGGAAACCACCAGCCUCCAGAGCCGCAGACCAGCAACCCCCCCGCAGCCCGCACUCACUUUUAAAGAGAGGGGGCCUACAUUACCCACAAUGCACCCUCCUCAAAGGUGUCAUCUUUCAUUCCCAGCAGGUUAGAAGAAGUUAAACAGCAAACACGUUGGUCCUCAGAGAAGAUCAGAUCCAGACCUUCAGAUUUGGUUUGUUUCGUGCAAACUGGAUCCGUCAGAUUAAAAAUGAAGCCACUUGUGAAGGAAAACUAUCGUCCAAAAUUCCUGCUGAAUAAAGACCCACUACUUGGGUUUGCAACACGUUCUUGUGGCGUUUUUCUGGUUUAUCAAGAAAAUUCAGCCAAUAGGUGCAUUUCGAGGUACAAAUCGUUGUGAAUCAGCAGUAGACAAAAAAAAA